rnacentral:rRNA from 1 species
AAUUCCAGCUCCAAUAGUGUAUAUUAGAGUUGUUGCAGUUUAAGCUCGUAGUUGGAUUUCUGCUGUGGUCAUCCGGUACCGCCCGUAUGGGUGCGCACCUGGUUUGGCUGCGGCUUUCUUCCUGUAGCCGUCCGCGCUUAAUUGCGUGUGCUGUGUUACGGAACUUUUACUUUGAGAAAAAUAGAGUGUUUCAAGCAGGCUUGUCGCCCUGAAUACUUCAGCAUGGAAUAAUAGGAUAGGACCUUGGUUCUAUUUUGUUGGUUUCUAGGACCAAGGUAAUGAUUAAUAGGGACAGUUGGGGGCAUUCGUAUUUAACUGUCAGAGGUGAAAUUCUUAGAUUUGUUAAAGACGAACUACUGCGAAAGCAUUUGCCAAGGAUGUUUUCAUUAAUCAAGAACGACAGUAGGGGGUUUGAAGACGAUUAGAUACCGUCGUAAUCUCUACCAUAAACUAUGCCGACUAGAGAUAGGGAAAUGCCUACCUUGGCUUCUCCUCCUG